rnacentral:rRNA from 1 species
GACGAACGCUGGCGGCGUGCUUAACACAUGCAAGUCGAACGAAGUGGCGAACGGGUGUGUAAUACGUGGGUAACCUGCCCUCUUUUUUGGGCUAAGCCUAGGAAACGGGGUCUAAUACCGAAUAAAGGGGGCUGGGCUCGGGGCCUAUCAGCUUGUUGGUGGGGGGUUGGCCUACCAUGGGGGUGUAGGGUAGCUGGCCUGGGAGGUUGACCGACAACAUUGGGACUGAGAUACGGCCCAGACUCCUACGGGAGGCAGCAGUGGGGGAUAUUGCAAAGUGGGCGAAGGCCGGAUGCAGCGACGCCGCGUGGGGGAUGAGGGCUUUCGGGUUGUAAACCUCUUUCGCUAUGGAACGGGUAGGUGGAGAAGAAGCGCCGGCUAACUACGUGCCAGCAGCCGCGGUAAUAC